rnacentral:lncRNA from 1 species
CUUGAGGGGGCAUCCCAGCCAAACAUAGCUCACUUACUAGGGCCGAAGGCUUUCUAAAAGUCACUGUGCGCUGAGGGUCUUUCAGGAUAACUGUGUUUCUACCUUUCCUCGUGUAGCAUUAAGAAGAUAACCUUGCCUGAGACUCUGUGACUCUCACAGAACCAGCACAGCUUGUAGAGAAAGUAUCAAAGAAUUCAUUCUGAAGACUGCAGAGUGAUUCUUUCAUUUCACAUUAGUAUGUGCCAGACCCUGCGCUGGAAAUCAGCACAACAAGAUCAGUCACUGGAAAGCAACUCUCUCCUCCAUUCUUUAAGUUAAAUCCCCACCACGCUGGAGUAUUUAGCUAUAUCGCACCAACUAGGCCAUCCAAGCACAGGUACUCUGCAAAACGCUGAACUCUGUAUUUCUUUAAGCUGGAAGAUCCUGACUCUUGUUAACCAAUCUUUCCAGUACAUAUUCUUUGCCAAAGAAUGCCAGAUUCGGUGGGAAGUGUCUGUGCCUGUGUAUCUAGCUGGUGCACUCAUCAGAGAGUCAGGAAGCACCAACUCAAUCAGUGAACCUGGUAUCGCUAACCACUAUGUUCAGGUAAUACAUACUCGGGUGCUGUGAUCUGCUCAGAACAGACUUUAAAACUCAACGUUUGUGUAUGAGGUGACCCCAAAGACUAGCUGAGACCUCACUGUGGAGAACAGAAAGAUUCUUGAGAGCAGGGAAAGUCUGCUCAGCCCACCGUCUUCACAGGUUGCCUUUGUGUCUGGACGUCUCUUCCGUCCUGUCUCACAACCCUGGGAGCCAACUCAGAUGAUGGGAAGGAGAAUGCAGAACAGUGCCAUAGACCUUCCUAUCAAAGCCGGCUGCUGAGGUCAGUUACCCUGGUGGAAGCUAUUCAGCCCUUCUGAGAAGCACGGGCACAACCAAAAUGGAUCUGCCUCGGUCAACUGUCAGAAAGAAGUGCACCGGAGCCGAGAUUUAAUUCCUCACGCAGGUCAAAUCUCUAGAAUCUUUUCCAAAGCCAAUAGCGGAGCAUAGAACAGAACAAAGCCCUGGUCGGUGGAACUUUUUCCUUACCUAGGGUCCUCCAUGACCUCUGA